UAAAAGGUCGUAUCCGUGCUGGACUGCAAUGAUAAAUAAGGGGCAAUUUGCAUUGUAUGGCUUCUAAACCAUUAAAAGUUUUUAAUUUGUUUUAUUAACGACAAUGGAUGUGAUGCCAAUGUUAUUUAUAACAUAGUAAAUUGGGAGGAUCUUCGAUCACCUGAUGCCGCGCUAGUUAUAUUUUAAAACAUUAUUUAAUACAAUGUCAAAGCCUAGAAUCAAUUGUAAACGACUUUUGUAACAGGCAAGGUGUUGUAAGUGGUUGAGCAGCUGCCAUACUGCGAUCCACUGAAGCUUAUCCUUUGCUUGAUGAUUCGA
rnacentral:ncRNA from 1 species